rnacentral:rRNA from 1 species
GAUGAACGCUGGCGGCGUGCCUAAUACAUGCAAGUCGAGCGAACGGACGAGAAGCUUGCUUCUCUGAUGUUAGCGGCGGACGGGUGAGUAACACGUGGAUAACCUACCUAUAAGACUGGGAUAACUUCGGGAAACCGUAGCUGAUACCGGAUAAUAUUUUGAACCGCAUGGUUCAAAAGUGAAAGACGGUCUUGCUGUCACUUAUAGAUGGAUCCGCGCUGCAUUAGCUAGUUGGUAAGGUAACGGCUUACCAAGGCAACGAUGCAUAGCCGACCUGAGAGGGUGAUCGGCCACACUGGAACUGAGACACGGUCCAGACUCCUACGGGAGGCAGCAGUAGGGAAUCUUCCGCAAUGGGCGAAAGCCUGACGGAGCAACGCCGCGUGAGUGAUGAAGGUCUUCGGAUCGUAAAACUCUGUUAUUAGGGAAGAGCAUAUGUGUAAGUAACUGUGCACAUCUUGACGGUACCUAAUCAGAAAGCCACGGCUAACUACGUG